AUGAACAUCCACGAUGAUGAGAUCAUAGAAGAAAUGAACCUGCUCAUCUUGACGAGUAAUCGGCACGGCAACAGCUAUAACCGUGGCAGCGUCCCCCAGUUCUGGUACCCUCCUUCAAAGACACCGGCUGAGAAGGCAGCAUGGAAGUUUGCAGAGGAAAAUGGAUUGGAUGUGGUUGUGGUCAAUCCAGGGACUGUUUUGGCCCCGAUGAUUCCGCCAAGGAUCAAUGCUAGCAUGGCCAUGUUUCUUCGCUUAAUCUUGACAAUGCUCUGGGCGAUUGCCAAGGAGAAGCAGCAGCUACUGAGAGGCAUAGAAGCGAAGACUCUGGACACCGUAUAUUUGUUUUCACAUGUAACCCUUGGUCAAAUUGAAAGUUCUUUUGAAUAUGGCAAUGCCACCUCCAUCAAUCCACCUACCCUCCACAACCGGCCUAAUUGUCGAUGCUGGCACCCCCACGGCCAGCGUCGCCGCCUCGUCAUUGCCACCCGACCAUUUUUGACUUGGGCGGUUGCUCCUUGCGAAUUGGUUCACACCACCCCGGCCAUCUCUCUACCCCAUUCCCCCUUUCGCACACCCAACAAAAACUCUGGAGGUCGUCAUUUGAACUGUCGAGAUGCCGUCACUCUACCCCUCCCACGUAUCAUUUCAUCUUUGGCUCGCCCAGUCGCCUCCUUGCGAAACCCGGCGAAUUUCCUGAAAACUUAG
rnacentral:rRNA from 1 species